UGGUCGCGCUCAGUUCACGUUCGAUUAUCGUACCGAGCGAAACGUCGCUAUCGGACGAGGCGUGUGCGUGAAGAUUAUCAGUUGGCUAGAAAACGUGUUCUGUUUUGUGGUUAAACAACUGCGAUAUCUUCGCAAACUAGCGAACCCUUAGCAGUACGUUAUGGCGCUGGUUGGGAAUAGAUUGGCGUUGGUACUGUUUUGUUUCGUGCUGGGGAAUUUCGUGCUGUUUCACGAUCGUGAGCGGAUCGUGAUGGCGCAGUACAUCGAAGAUGAAACGUCUCUGCGCGGACUGGACUUUAUUGGCGAUUCACCGAAAGGUCUGUUUGGACGGUGGCACUCGGAGAAGCAUUAUUUGCGCCGGCUUCAUCUAGACCGAAUGGGCGAAUGAUCGUUGACCUUGAAUGUCAGCAUGCGUGUAAAGUUACCAUCGGACAUACGCAGGGGUUUUUUUCUUGGAAUACUCAGCAUAGAAUCGGAAUUAAUCUCAACGCAAUGCCUCACAAGUGUGUACGAGACUGAUGAUUUCAGAAUCUAGACGGUACAAAAUGGUGUGAGAAUAAUGCUCUCGAUAAUGGUUAAACGAAGUGUGCGAAAAUGAAAAUAAUGUUAAGUCUCUGUCGAAUACAUUGUUAAACUAAUAAGAUACAAAUAAAAGUACGCG